AGGACUACUGGGGUUUCUAAUCCUGUUUGCUCCCCACGCUUUCGUGCCUCAGCGUCAGUUAAAGGCCAGAAAGUCGCCUUCGCCACUGGUAUUCCUCCUAAUAUCUACGCAUUUCACCGCUACACUAGGAAUUCCACUUUCCUCUCCUUAACUCAAGCCUUCCAGUUUCAAGUGCUUACACAGGUUGAGCCCAUGGAUUUCACACCUGACUUAAAAGGCCGCCUACGCACCCUUUACGCCCAAUAAUUCCGGACAACGCUCGCCCCCUACGUAUUACCGCGGCUGCUGGCAC
rnacentral:misc_RNA from 1 species